UGCCUGGAGGACUAGUGGUUAGGCCACAGCGCUCUCACCGCUGUGGCCUGGUUUCGAUUCCCAGCCACGGAA
rnacentral:tRNA from 1 species